GGUGAGUAACACGUAUGCAACUUACCUUUAACUGGAGAAUAGCUCCGGGAAACCGGAAUUAAUACUCCAUAACAUAUUAAAAACACAUGUUUUUUAAUAUCAAAGCUCAGGCGGUUAAAGAUGGGCAUGCGAGGCAUUAGUUAGUUGGUAGGGUAACGGCCUACCAAGACAGCGAUGCCUAGGGGGUCUGAGGGGAUGACCCCCCACACUGGCACUGAGACACGGGCCAGACUCCUACGGGAGGCAGCAGUGAGGAAUAUUGGGCAAUGGGCGAAAGCUUGACCCACCCAUGCCGCGUGCAAGAUGACUGUCCUAUGGAUCGUAAACUGCUUUUUUACGGGAAGAAUCCCCCCGUUCUUCGGGGGUUGACGGUACCGUAUGAAUAAGGGUCGGCUAACUCCGUGCCAGCAGCCGCGGUAAUACGGAGGACCCGAGUGUUAUCCGGAUUUACUGGGUUUAAAGGGUGCGCAGGCGGAAUAGUAAGUCGAUGGUGAAAGGCUACAGCUUAACUGUAAAAUUGCCAUUGAUACUGCUAUUCUUGAGUGCAGUCGAAGCGAGCGGAAUGUGUAGUGUAGCGGUGAAAUGCAUAGAUAUUACACAGAACACCGAUAGCGUAAGCAGCUCGCUAGGCUGUUACUGACGCUGAGGCACGAAAGCGUGGGUAUCGAACAGGAUUAGAUACCCUGGUAGUCCACGCUGUAAACGAUGAUCACUAGUUGUUGGCGAUAUAUUGUCAGCGACUGAGCGAAAGCGUUAAGUGAUCCACCUGGGAAGUACGUCCGCAAGGAUGAAACUCAAAGGAAUUGACGGGGGCUCGCACAACCGGUGGAACACGUGGUUCAAUUUGAUGGUACGCGAGGAACCUUACCUGGGCUUAAAUGCGGAACGACUGUUUGAGAAAUCGAAGUUCCCUUCGGGGCGUUUUACAAGGUGUUGCACGGCGGUCGUCAGCUCGUGCCAUGAGGUGUCGGGUUAAGUCCCUUAA
rnacentral:rRNA from 1 species